rnacentral:rRNA from 1 species
UGCGCAGGUGGGGGUGUAAGUCAGUGGUGAAAUGUUGCCGCUUAACGGUAAAAUUGCCAUUGAUACUGCAUCUCUUGAGUAUGGUUGAGGUAAGCGGAAUGUGUUGUGUAGCGGUGAAAUGCAUAGAUAUGACACAGAACACCGAUUGCGAAGGCAGCUUACUAAGCCAUUACUGACGCUGAGGCACGAAAGCGUGGGGAGCGAACAGGAUUAGAUACCCUGGUAGUCC